UACUGGUUUGUUUCUUCCUUUGAUCGGAGA
rnacentral:piRNA from 1 species